GAUGAACGCUGGCGGCGUGCCUAAUACAUGCAAGUCGAGCGAACGGACGAGAAGCUUGCUUCUCUGAUGUUAGCGGCGGACGGGUGAGUAACACGUGGAUAACCUACCUAUAAGACUGGGAUAACUUCGGGAAACCGGAGCUAAUACCGGAUAAUAUUUUGAACCGCAUGGUUCAAAAGUGAAAGACGGUCUUGCUGUCACUUAUAGAUGGAUCCGCGCUGCAUUAGCUAGUUGGUAAGGUAACGGCUUACCAAGGCAACGAUGCAUAGCCGACCUGAGAGGGUGAUCGGCCACACUGGAACUGAGACACGGUCCAGACUCCUACGGGAGGCAGCAGUAGGGAAUCUUCCGCAAUGGGCGAAAGCCUGACGGAGCAACGCCGCGUGAGUGAUGAAGGUCUUCGGAUCGUAAAACUCUGUUAAUAGGGAAGAACAUAUGUGUAAGUAACUGUGCACAUCUUGACGGUACCUAAUCAGAAAGCCACGGCUAACUACGU
rnacentral:rRNA from 1 species